CGGCGGACGGGUGAGUAACGCGUGGGUAACCUACCCUGUACACACGGAUAACAUACCGAAAGGUAUGCUAAUACGGGAUAAUAUAUUUGAGAGGCAUCUCUUAAAUAUCAAAGGUGAGCCAGUACAGGAUGGACCCGCGUCUGAUUAGCUAGUUGGUAAGGUAACGGCUUACCAAGGCGACGAUCAGUAGCCGACCUGAGAGGGUGAUCGGCCACAUUGGAACUGAGACACAGUCCAA
rnacentral:rRNA from 1 species